rnacentral:misc_RNA from 1 species
GAUGAAGAGCGUAGCGAAAUGCGAUAAGUAAUGUGAAUUGCAGAAUUCAGUGAAUCAUCGAAUCUUUGAACGCACAUUGCGCCCCCUGGUAUUCCGGGGGGCAUGCCUGUCCGAGCGUCAUUACAACCCUCAAGCUCAGCUUGGUGUUGGGCCCCGCCGCCCCGGCGGGCCCUAAAGUCAGUGGCGGUGCCGUCCGGCUCCGAGCGUAGUAAUUCUUCUCGCUCUGGAGGUCCGGUCGUGUGCUCGCCAGCAACCCCCAAUUUUUUUCAGGUUGACCUCGGAUCAGGGAGGGAUACCCGCUGAACUUAAGCAUAUCAAUAAGCGGAGGA